rnacentral:rRNA from 1 species
UGCUGUGAGGCAUGCUGGAGGUAUCAGAAGUGCGAAUGCUGACAUAAGUAACGAUAAAGCGGGUGAAAAGCCCGCUCGCCGGAAGACCAAGGGUUCCUGUCCAACGUUAAUCGGGGCAGGGUGAGUCGACCCCUAAGGCGAGGCCGAAAGGCGUAGUCGAUGGGAAACAGGUUAAUAUUCCUGUACUUGGUGUUACUGCGAAGGGGGGACGGAGAAGGCUAUGUUGGCCGGGCGACGGUUGUCCCGGUUUAAGCGUGUAGGCUGGUUUUCCAGGCAAAUCCGGAAAAUCAAGGCUGAGGCGUGAUGACGAGGCACUACGGUGCUGAAGCAACAAAUGCCCUGCUUCCAGGAAAAGCCUCUAAGCAUCAGGUAACAUCAAAUCGUACCCCAAACCGACACAGGUGGUCAGGUAGAGAAUACCAAGGCGCUUGAGAGAACUCGGGUGAAGGAACUAGGCAAAAUGGUGCCGUAACUUCGGGAGAAGGCACGCUGAUAUGUAGGUGAAGCGACUUGCUCGUGGAGCUGAAAUCAGUCGAAGAUACCAGCUGGCUGCAACUGUUUAUUAAAAACACAGCACUGUGCAAACACGAAAGUGGACGUAUACGGUGUGACGCCUGCCCGGUGCCGGAAGGUUAAUUGAUGGGGUCAGCGCAAGCGAAGCUCUUGAUCGAAGCCCCGGUAAACGGCGGCCGUAACUAUAACGGUCCUAAGGUAGCGAAAUUCCUUGUCGGGUAAGUUCCGACCUGCACGAAUGGCGUAAUGAUGGCCAGGCUGUCUCCACCCGAGACUCAGUGAAAUUGAACUCGCUGUGAAGAUGCAGUGUACCCGCGGCAAGACGGAAAGACCCCGUGAACCUUUACUAUAGCUUGACACUGAACAUUGAGCCUUGAUGUGUAGGAUAGGUGGGAGGCUUUGAAGUGUGGACGCCAGUCUGCAUGGAGCCGACCUUGAAAUACCACCCUUUAAUGUUUGAUGUUCUAACGUUGACCCGUAAUCCGGGUUGCGGACAGUGUCUGGUGGGUAGUUUGACUGGGGCGGUCUCCUCCUAAAGAGUAACGGAGGAGCACGAAGGUUGGCUAAUCCUGGUCGGACAUCAGGAGGUUAGUGCAAUGGCAUAAGCCAGCUUGACUGCGAGCGUGACGGCGCGAGCAGGUGCGAAAGCAGGUCAUAGUGAUCCGGUGGUUCUGAAUGGAAGGGCCAUCGCUCAACGGAUAAAAGGUACUCCGGGGAUAACAGGCUGAUACCGCCCAAGAGUUCAUAUCGACGGCGGUGUUUGGCACCUCGAUGUCGGCUCAUCACAUCCUGGGGCUGAAGUAGGUCCCAAGGGUAUGGCUGUUCGCCAUUUAAAGUGGUACGCGAGCUGGGUUUAGAACGUCGUGAGACAGUUCGGUCCCUAUCUGCCGUGGGCGCUGGAGAACUGAGGGGGGCUGCUCCUAGUACGAGAGGACCGGAGUGGACGCAUCACUGGUGUUCGGGUUGUCAUGCCAAUGGCACUGCCCGGUAGCUAAAUGCGGAAGAGAUAAGUGCUGAAAGCAUCUAAGCACGAAACUUGCCCCGAGAUGAGUUCUCCCUGACUCCUUGAGAGUCCUGAAGGAACGUUGAAGACGACGACGUUGAUAGGCCGGGUGUGUAAGCGCAGCGAUGCGUUGAGCUAACCGGUACUAAUGAACCGUGAGGCUUAACCUUACAACGCCGAAGCUGUU